GACGAACGCUGGCGGCGUGCCUAACACAUGCAAGUUGAGCGAUGAAGAUUGGUUCUCGUACCAAUCUGAAGAGCAGCGAACGGGAGAGUAACGCGUGGGGAAUCUGCCUUUGAGAGGGGGACAACAAUUGGACACGAAUGCUAAUACCGCAUAACAACUUUAACCAUAAGUUUUAAGUUUGAAAGAUUCAAUUGCAUCACUCACAGAAGAUCCCGCGUUGUAUUAGCUAGAUGGCGUGGUAAAGGCUGACCAAGGCGAUGAUACAUAGCCGACCUGAGAGGAUGAGCAGCCACAUAGGGACGUUGACAAGGACCAAAAUCCUGCGGGAGACACGAGUAGGAAGUCUUCGGCAAUGGACAGAAGGCUGACCGAGGAACGGCGCGAAAGUGAAGAAGAGUUUCGUAGCGUAAAACUCUAUUGGUAGAGAAGAACGAUGGUGAGAGUAGAAAGCUGAACAAGUGACGGUAGCUACCCAGUAAGGGGCGGCUAACUACGUG
rnacentral:rRNA from 1 species